UCAUCGUUCUUCUCCUCUUGUCAUUGUGAGGUGAAAACCCAAGAACCCAUCUAUUUUGGAUUUUGGUUUUAAGAGAAAUUGGGUUCUGAUUGUUGUUAAUAACUUCAUUGCUGGUGACGACGAUGCCGGACUCGAUUGCAUAGGUUCCCUUGUUCGUGGGCUUUGCGGCAGAAGACCCAGACCUCUCCAAGUUGUAAGUAUACGUCUGGGAACCUAUCUCGUGUUCAAUCUUUGAUUAUCAAAGAAAUAAGUUUGAUUUUGGGUUUUUGAACUUGGCUUUUGGUUUUCGAUGAUGAUGGGAGGCUGGGACUUAAUUGGGUGAGUUCAAUGGGUAGAGUCGGAUAACAAGUUGGAGCUAGUUCCAAUGGAGUCAUGCGUUGAGAAGAGAGAAGGAACCAGAGAAGUAGAAGAAGGCGUGCUGCUGCUUCUUGUCUAACAACGCAGCAAGAAGGAAAAUGUUUAAGCUAAUUUAUAGGACCUCCAGUUAUCCACGAUGCAAGUAGUGGUGGUGUUUGCCGAACAUUGUGGAGUAAAGGCUCAAGCCCCAGGAAUAUCAGAUUUUGAUUUUCGAGAUUGUAUGAUGACCUGAGAGUGAGCGGAGCAUAGCGACUACCUUGGGUUUCAAUCCCCUAAACCUCCGGAGGGGCUGUAUGGACGGUAUAGUGUCUGACAUCGCUUGUGGUGUGGCACUAUUUCUAGGUGAUACGGCGUAAAUGGACACUCUCGCUACUCCUUGCCGGUUGAAAAUGUUAAUCUUGCUUUGGAUGCAGGUACUGUGCACAAGAAUGGAGAGCGCUGAAUCAAGCUGGGUGUGCAUAAUUGUUCAAUGCUAAGUGUCUUUGAAACUUUGAAAUCACACGUAAGGUUUCAAUUUCAUAUCCUAGUGUUUGGCACAUUUCUUGUAUUAUUGGAAAUCUUGCCAUGAAUUGUUUGUCUUGCAAUUGCCUUAUUCUUCAACCAUUUACCCACACCGUCAAUGAGCCAUGUUUUGGUUAAUCGUGAAAAUGUCAUUUUUGAGUUGUAUUUUGACACUAUUCUUGCCUUGUGAUCUUUAGUUUGACUUCAAAGAAAGCUAGAAUGUUUUACACCUCAAACUAUUUCACGCUUUCGAUUUAAACUCUGAGUUUCGAAUUUCAUAAAUUAUGGUUUGUUUUGAGUAAAAUGCCUUGCGGUAAUUUAAGACGUAAGUUGGAUUAUCCAGCUUAUGUUUUAGAGACACGCGGCACU